rnacentral:rRNA from 1 species
GAUGAACGCUGGCGGCGUGCCUAAUACAUGCAGGUCGAGCGAACGGACGAGAAGCUUGCUUCUCUGAUGUUAGCGGCGGACGGGUGAGUAACACGUGGAUAACCUACCUAUAAGACUGGGAUAACUUCGGGAAACCGGAGCUAAUACCGGAUAAUAUUUUGAACCGCAUGGUUCAAAAGUGAAAGACGGUCUUGCUGUCACUUAUAGAUGGAUCCGCGCUGCAUUAGCUAGUUGGUAAGGUAACGGCUUACCAAGGCAACGAUGCAUAGCCGACCUGAGGGUGAUCGGCCACACUGGAACUGAGACACGGUCCAGACUCCUACGGGAGGCAGCAGUAGGGAAUCUUCCGCAAUGGGCGAAAGCCUGACGGAGCAACGCCGCGUGAGUGAUGAAGGUCUUCGGAUCGUAAAACUCUGUUAUUAGGGAAGAACAUAUGUGUAAGUAACUGUGCACAUCUUGACGGUACCUAAUCAGAAAGCCACGGCUAACUACGUG